ensembl:lncRNA
GUCUGUCUAUCUGUCAUUGAUAGUCAUUUCUAUAUUAUUUUGUAUUGAAUUUAGGAGCAUAUUUAUAAUCAUUUAAGUUUGCGUUUUAAAAUUGUAUGUGUGUGAGUCCAUUUGAACCUUUUACACUUUUGAGGCCAAUUCCAUCUCAGGGCUUCACUGACUUAUUACCUUAAGUCAUAUCUUAAAUCUGUCAACCAUCUGUUUUUGUAUCUCUCCUCUCUGGCUCCAGAUGUCAGAGCGAGCACUCAUGAUAACAACAACUACUGGAGGAGAAUGAACUUUUCAGGCGGGAGAAAUAAACUGUGAGCAUAUUGGACAACAGCAAGACUGUCAUGCUGUGCAAUGCCAUUUUCCUGCAGGCUCCUUCUCCUACUGUCUUCAAACACUGCUGGGGCCUCUGUUUCAAGCUCAGCCCACAGCAGUGAUCGAGAGAACUACCACAGCAGGAAAGAAAGGAAUUACCAGACCCGAACGUGGGCCAUCUCUCCGGCAGGACAGGGCUCAGUGUUUGCGGGACUCAGUAAGCUGCCAGUCCUAAUCUCAGUUUGAGGUGACCCCUGUCACUGUCUGUUUCCUCUUCACAUCAGAGGCAAAGGGGGAGAAGACGCUCUCAUCGCAAGAGGAUUAGCCGGGACACAAGGGACCCAGCGUGUAGUAACAUGCUGACCAGGUUCCUUCUUUGCACUGGCUUAGUAAAUUAUUUUGCCCACUGUGAGAAUAUAAACAAACAUAUACAGCACAUGAGCUCAAUUUAAGUUCAGUUUAAUUUAUUUUUGAGUGACAUAAAAUAUGUGUUCCUGAUCUUAUUUAAAAUGAUUCAUCAGUGGAUGUAUUUCCUAAUAAUAAGUUUCAUAUAAUAGUAUAAUAAUUAUUGUAGAAUAGUCUUUGUAAUCCUAAAAAAUAACUUCUUCUGAAACGACUUUCCUUUUCCACUGACAUCACUUAGGCCAUACAGGCUAUUGGAUAAUGUUAGCAAAUAUGCAAAUAGGUACCAAUGCCAAUGGGUUUAAUUCCCAGGGAAACCAAGAACUGAUAAAAUGCUUUUUUUUUUUUUUCUGUUUCACUCAGAAAUAUAUCACAUUACAAAAAUAAAAUGAACUGCAUACUGGGAUACCA